CCUACGGGAGGCAGCAGUGGGGAAUUUUGGACAAUGGGCGCAAGCCUGAUCCAGCAAUGCCGCGUGAGUGAAGAAGGCCUUCGGGUUGUAAAGCUCUUUUGUCAGGGAAGAAACGGUGGGAGCUAAUAUCUCCCGCUAAUGACGGUACCUGAAGAAUAAGCACCGGCUAACUACGUGCCAGCAGCCGCGGUAAUACGUAGGGUGCAAGCGUUAAUCGGAAUUACUGGGCGUAAAGCGUGCGCAGGCGGUUUUGUAAGUCUGUCGUGAAAGCCCCGGGCUCAACCUGGGAAUUGCGAUGGAGACUGCAAGGCUUGAAUCUGGCAGAGGGGGGUAGAAUUCCACGUGUAGCAGUGAAAUGCGUAGAGAUGUGGAGGAGCACCGAUGGCGAAGGCAGCCCCCUGGGUCAAGAUUGACGCUCAUGCACGAAAGCGUGGGGAGCAAACAGGAUUAGAUACCCUGGUAGUCCACGCCCUAAACGAUGUCUACUAGUUGUCGGGUUUUAAUUAACUUGGUAACGCAGCUAACGCGUGAAGUAGACCGCCUGGGGAUCGGUCGCAAGAUUAAACNCAAAGGAUUGACGGNGNGAGAGNGCGAGACGACGACGAGGGAGGAGG
rnacentral:rRNA from 1 species